AAUGGGUGACAAGGGAGAAUAGAAGAAGGAAAUUCAUCCCUUCUUGUCUUUGAGAGCAAUUUAAUUAGACCCAGGCCCCCUAUGAGUGUGCAAAGGAAGGACAAGGGGUAGGCUUGUGGACUCAUUGAGAUGGAAAGAGCUGCAUCUUGGUCAGCUCCAUCUAUUCCAGCUAGUCUUCAAUAAUAUCAUGGGGAACCUUAUCAAACACUUUAUUGAAAUCAAGAUACGCUACAUCCACAGCAGUCUCCCAAGCUGUCAAAUUUGCAGCUCUGUCAAAAUUGGAGGGCAGUUUAUCAAGUCUCUAUCCCAUUCAGAUGUCCAUCAAGAAGAGUGGAUAUCAGCUUGCUGACAACACGUAUACCUAUCUGAGCCUUGCUCUCUGCCUGGCAUGUUUGGAAGAGAAGAUGGAAA
rnacentral:lncRNA from 11 species